GAUGAACGCUAGCGGCAGGCUUAACACAUGCAAGUCGAGGGGUAGGUUACUUCGGUAAUUGAGACCGGCGCACGGGUGCGUAACGCGUAUACAAUCUACCUUUUACAGAGGGAUAGCCCAGAGAAAUUUGGAUUAAUACCUCAUAGUAUUUUUGAAUCGCAUGAUUUGAUUAUUAAAGUUCCAACGGUAAAAGAUGAGUAUGCGUCCCAUUAGCUAGAUGGUAAGGUAACGGCUUACCAUGGCUACGAUGGGUAGGGGUCCUGAGAGGGAGAUCCCCCCACACUGGUACUGAGACACGGACCAGACUCCUACGGGAGGCAGCAGUGAGGAAUAUUGGUCAAUGGGCGCAAGCCUGAACCAGCCAUGCCGCGUGCAGGAAGACGGUCCUAUGGAUUGUAAACUGCUUUUANACAGGAAGAAACCCUCCCACGUGUGGGAGCUUGACGGUACUGUAGGAAUAAGGAUCGGCUAACUCCGUGCCAGCAGCCGCGGUAA
rnacentral:rRNA from 1 species